UGGGGAAUAUUGCACAAUGGGGGAAACCCUGAUGCAGCGACGCCGCGUGGGUGACGAAGUAUUUCGGUAUGUAAAGCCCUAUCAGCAGGGAAGAAAAUGACGGUACCUGACUAAGAAGCCCCGGCCAACUACGUGCCCGCAGCCGCGGUAAUACGUAGGGGGCAAGCGUUAUCCGGAUUUACUGGGUGUAAAGGGAGCGUAGGUGGCAUGGUAAGCCAGAAGUGAAAACCCAGGGCUCAACCCUGAGGAUUGCUUUUGGAACUAUCAGGCUGGAGUGCUGGAGGGGUAAGCGGAAUUCCUAGUGUAGCGGUGAAAUGCGUAGAUAUUAGGAGGAACACCGGUGGCGAAGGCGGCUUACUGGACAGAAACUGACACUGAGGCUCGAAAGCGUGGGGAGCAAACAGG
rnacentral:rRNA from 1 species